ensembl:lncRNA
GUGGUCAGUUUAGCAGUAAAAUCCACUGCUGUGUAGAAGCUAUCUAGAAUCCUAUUUCUUUCGACACUCAGAUUAUAGUCGCACUCACUUUGCCCACCUGAACAGCCACCAGCCCUUCCAGCUCACCGGGUUUUUUCAAGCUGCCUGGCCUCAACUGGCACUUCUGGACGCCAGGUUCUAGCAUUCAGGACCUGAUAGUUCACACGGGGAGUGCUUGAACUCAUUGGGUUGACUCGAUCCGAUCCUCCACCUCAUUCUAUGUAGUGUCUGAUUUGGGUCCGAGUUUUUACCCCAAAGUCUUGCAUGCACUCCUUCCACACCCCCGUACUCCACUGCUCAUGUGCCGGCUUCUUUUCUCCAGUCAUUUGAUAAAAGUCUGCACAGGAAGGGACAUGUGACUAUUACAGAAGGCAGACUCUGACCUCCCCAGAAUAUUCUACGCAUACACGCCAUGGUCGUGCCCUCCUUCCAGUAAAACGUGUGGGCUAAUGACAUUUGACAGCCACAUCCUUUAAACGUUUGCAAAUACGUCCGCGAACAGGCACGUUUCCGACGUUAACUGGUGGUCCAGUCACAGAUGACUGCCAAGGCUGCCCUCCGUGUGGCCCGAGCAAGUCACGCUUUGCCAAGUCCAUUGGCUAUUAUGCGACUUUUUAAAAAUUUUAAAGAAGCAUUUUUAUGCAGAGGCCUCUCCUGGCAGCAAGUGUGACCCCUAUUUGGGUCUGGACGACUCUCGCUCCAGAGAGCAGCAGCCCUUCUGAGAGAAGAGAAAAAGCGAAAAGCAGCACGGUAGGCAGGAACAAACUGGUUCUGAACGAGAAGGCCAGAAAUCGCGACCUGAUCUUGCUAGUUUGGGACGAGCCUAAAAUGUGUUGAACUUCUGUGACAAAACGGCCCCCUCAAUCUCAGCAUAGAUAGUAUGAAAAAAGAAAAAAGGGUUGCCAACACUGCGGCCGUUCGCGAACUUGACCCCAAGGGCGCGCAGCAGAAAGCCUGACGAGCAGACUGCGCCCUGAGCAGUAGUUGGGCCAUGAGAUACGCGCGCUGGGGGGAGGGCCGCGGCGCGUGCGUGCGUGCGUGCGCGUGCGUAGGCGUCCGCGCGUGCGUGUUCGUUGACGCUCGGCCCUGGCACUGGUAGAGCGUGCCUAGACGCGGGCUGCGGCGCCGCGUGCUUGCGCUCAACUUGGGCAGCGGCGGCGCACGCGCGUUCUUUCCACACAUUCAGGCCCCUCAGGACUUUGAGUUUUGCCUAGAAAAAGUGACUGUCUUAUGGUGGUGGAAGAGAGGAUGAUUUGGAAUUUACCUAUGGAAUAAUAGAUGGCCGGUCUGUUUCUGGAGAGCUGGUGUUAACCCUUCGGAGAGCCACCAUACAUAUAAGAGGAGGCAGGAUUGGACAGACGAUGGUCAGAAGACCCUUAGAACCUCCAAAGGAACUUAUAGAGUGGAAAAGUGUGAAGGCAGCGCUGCCAUAUCCUGACUCUUCCUUCCUACCUUUAGCUCUUACUUUGGGACAGGGCACUUAAGAGGUUUGGAUACAGUGUCUUAAGAGGGCAGGGGUGCAGGGGAGAGCUGCGACUCACCUGUUUAGUUUGAAAACAAGGCUCAAAUGGGCUUGUUUUAAACGUUUCCCUUGACUUAAAAGACAAACUCUUGCGUUAAUCCCACUGUUUAUUGAUUUAUGGGCCCAAGGAAACCAAAUCUUUUAAUAACUCAAUUAUCAGAUAAACGUAGCAGGCCUAACGAAAGCAAGGGGGCGGGAGUCAUACAUGAAAGGAGAAAUGAGGGAGGGAAAGGCGGCAGUGGGCUCUAUCCACGUGUGUGUGGGGUGGGGUGGGGAGUUGCAGGGAAGGGAUGCCAAGGGCUCUGUUCAGCUCGGGCGGGAGGAACGCACACGGAGAGGGGCGAAGGGCGACGAAGGAGGCUGCGCAGCCUAGUAAGACAAUUCCUACCCAUGACCCGCCUUUAGGAGCCUGAGGGUGGAGAGUUUUCAUCCCGGCAAAGGCGGGGGAAGCUUCCGAUCCCCUGGACAUUUCUAGGCCACUCGCCCUCAGGGAGCAGGCGCCCCGGGCGGCCGCUGGCAGUUAGGGGCUCAAGCAGCACUGAGACCCCUCUAGCCUGCAGCCCGUGGGGCGCCCCCCCAUUACCUACUGGAGCACCGGGCUUUCUCGGUCGCCUUAGCCCUUAGGGUGAGACCGAGAGCGGGAAGGGCCCGCGCGGCCCCGCGGCCCCUCCAGCGGCUGAUUCUAUGUCCUCAACACGACUGGGCGCGAGUGGCCCCCACGCUCUCGGGACCUGCACAGUAAGAGCAAGGCGCAUCCAUCGCGUCUCUCGCACGUCACACGC